AGACUCGUCAGUGACAUCGACUCAAAAUGAAGGUGAACAGCACGUGGCUCAAACGGGUGUUUCCAGGCGUUUGGACUCAUCAAAUGCCUCCCUGGUUGGAGUAUGAUGUAGAGGUGUGAAGAAGCUGGGGAUGAUGAGGUAAAGCUCACGUUUUCUAAAUGUCGAUGGCUUCUGUUUCUCUUGAGGUGUUUGCAAAUCUUUAUUUAGCUAUUGAACAUUUCACCAGGCUCAAAGACAAGGCCUCAGUUGUUGGUCUUAAGUCUGACAAUUGUAUUUUAUAACUUGCAUCCUUUUAUUAACAGGAUCCAUUAAAUCUGAACCAGUUUAAUAACUCUCAAAUCUCUUAAUUUACAAGUAUUUGAUUUUAGAGCCACAUCUGAAAACUCAAAGUGCAGUCUUGGCUCCACUCUGACCACACCUCCAGAGAAGCAUCGGUCUGCACGUGAUCCCUGUGCUGCUGAUGACAUUUAUUUGCUACUCUUGAUCAAACGAUGAUGAUACCAGCAACCACCAUGUUUUAUUAUCUGAGGCACUGAUGAGGCCGUGUCUGACGUCCUGAGAUUCUUUCAUGGCUCACGUAUAUGUCUUGUUUCUGCAGGUGUGAUCACACUGACUGAAUUCACUCUUCGUUCACGACAUUCAAUAAGAUGGUCUCGUGUUUGUGGAUCUGGUCUGAACGCUCUAGUAUGAGCUACUGAAACCUCUCUGGCUACAGAAUGCUAUGACAUGUGACUUCUCCGCCGACUAAACUUCCGGCCUUGUUGAUCUAAUGGGAUCUUGGGCAGUUGGGUGCAGAAGAUGUCACACAAACAAUGUUCUGAUCGCUCUCUGAGAUCCGACUGAACGGCCAAGACGAGGUUGACUGAGGAAAAGGCUGCAUCUCUUGGGCUGACCUUGAAAGCAGAUGUAAUGUCCUCUGGCCCUCAGACAGCCUGAUGUUUUACUCUAAAGAUUCUGUGGUAUUAUGGCGACCGGAGUUUGACCUGCAGACAAUUUAAUAUCUCUUGGCAAAUGUGUUUUCAACAUUGUUGCAAUAAAAUACUCAAAACGAAA